rnacentral:snRNA from 1 species
AUAUUCUGGUUUCUCUUCAAAUUGUAUAAAUCACCUUUUACUAAAGAUUUCUGUGGAGAGGAACAUUUAUGAGUUC